AUGAUGAUAGCUGGCGAAAUAGCGACAAAUUACAGAGAUUCGGCACAACAACUAGCAAAUAUUCGGAAUGAAGCAAAUCACGCCAAGUUUGCUCAGGAGGCAUUUCACCAUCAAGUAGCUAAUUUAAAACAAGUUGUGGACACCCAAGGAAGUACAAUUGAGGCCUCAAAAUCAAGAAUCACCGAGUUAGAAAAUAUCCUCUCCAAAAAAGAUACCAUUAUUCAGGAACAAAAAGAACUGAUAGAGAGGAUUAAGGAGCAGUAUCAUAGUCAAUUACAAGCUGUUGAGGAUAAAUACAACGCCCUAAAGGCUAUUAACCUGAAGCAACAAGAGCACACGCUGGAGGUUCACAACCGACUGGACAUGGCAGAGGAACUAAACAAACAGCGUAACAAGAAACUUUCUCUCGAUGAAGAUCUUAUUCCACGUUGAUUUCACCCAAAUCCUCCUUCCGACAGUUCCAUUCUGAUGGUCCUCUACCGAACCUCAGUCAGCUCGUUGAACCAGACGAAGAUCCAGCCAGAGGCCUACUCCGCUCGACUCUCAGCCCCUCGUCAAUGCAUCAUUUCUCGUAGUCAUUGGUAAUUCCUACGCACUACACAGAUGUCAGUUGAAGCCUCUGUUGAAUAAAGUAGGUAAGUGGCAGUUUUGAAUAAAAAUGAGAUAAAUUGUGGUUUUAAACCAAAGGUGUUAACAGUGAACAUUACAAAAGCGAAAGAAAUAUUGGCCUUGAAAACUCGAUUCUAGUCCCACAACACCAGUUCAAACUUUUGAGAAGGUGUAAGACUCAUAAUAUUUAAAUGUUGAUCUUUUUUUUCUCAAAAUCGUAGAACGAUACUUACCUCUAAAAACAAGUUGGUUGAUCGAAUGAUCAGACCAAAGAUGAUGUCAUUUUUCUCACUCUAGAGCGAAACGAAGACAAAUGAAAAAAGAGAGAAAAAUGACGUCACUUUGGGCUGAUCAUUCAAUGAACCAACUUUUGUCCAUUUGACUGGUUCGUCUAACCACUUUUAUUCUCUCUCUGACUGUAGUGAAUUUUCCCUCUAAACUUCUACCCAUCUUCAACAGUAUUUAUCAGUAUUCCCAGUCAAUUAGUCUGCCUCCUUAAAGUAAUAUUUUCCUCUGUUUCAGAUAUAUUCCAUUGUGGCUGUGGUAUCCCGUUUAUAAUUUGUUACCUAUUCUAAUUUAUUUAUUUUAUGUUCUAAUUUUAUUUUGUAUAGUUUUAUUAAGUGUAAUUCUGCUUCCUGCGUAGCUCAACUUCCUCCAUCUAAUCUUCAUUACUGAGUGACCUGCCUCAGACGAAGAGCAAGUUCUUUCUCUGUCAACUUAGACUCUCCGUAUCAACCAUGAAGGGACGUAAACUUAGUCAUGUGACUUAGUAUCCAUAGUCGUUCCUUAAACAGCUCCUCUCUUCAUUAUUGGCUGAUUAUUGAAAUUAUAGGCAAAGCGAUGGACAAAGAAGACAUAAAGAAUAAAGCGCGAUCCUAUUGGUUGAAACGGGUGGCUCUUAUAGACUAAGGGAGAAAAUGAUUGACUAACUGUCGGGUCUCACGUGGGUUGCCAUUAGUUAGCCUAUUACUUAUCUCCUUUGUCCCUUGCAACCACUUCGCUUCCACCAAUAGAAUCCCUCCUUAUCCCUUUUGUUUUCUUUGUCUAAAGCUUUGUCUAUCAAUUUCAACAAUCGACCCGCUGUAUGGUUUGGAUUCUUUAAAGUGACUGCAAUGAUUUGCCACUGCAAAAAAGUACAAAAUGCGGAAGAAAAAUUAUCUGAAUUUGAGAAAUAUUAAGGUAGAUGGGAACCUACCUUAAAAUAUAUAAAUCUCUCAGUACAUUUUCUCUCGUAUCAUUAUAAUUUUUGUAUAGUGAAUCAUUGUAGUUCCUCGCAAGGACUAAUUUUCAAAGUUCUACUGCUGAAUUUUACCUGAGGUUCCCAAAAAUUGUCUUUUUAACCGAAGCUAUGCUGAGGAUCUCCUAGAUUCUCCCUUAAUCACAGUGUAAACUAUAUGGGGACACAUUUCCGCCAAACGGAACUAUGUGUAUUAAGACGUGAGCCCUGAGACCCAAUAUAUGCAUGACAGGGCUCAUGUCUUAAUGCACAUAGUUCCGUUCGACAGGAAUACGUCCAUGGAGCCUCCUAUUGGAAGGAGCUGCUCAAGGCACAACUAUGCGACCCUUAAAAUCAAUCUCCAACCUACGUAACUUUUUUUCUGCUGCAAGUAGGAUUACAGGUUCCUCGCUUCUAAGAUCAACAACCGUUUUCCCAUUUCGUAUAAUGUAACGAACCAUUAGAGACAAGGUAAAAACAAAGCAUUGAAAUACAUAUUCUCUCAUGAAAAUUUCAAUAAUUUAUACUUUUUAUUUUCAAUUUCAUCUCAUAAGUGAGAUACUUCAAGUCUGUUGAAAGUGCCCUUGAAUCAAAUUAAGCACUGAACUCAUUUCCGUGUCCCUUACACUAAAUGAUUCUCCCAGUGUAUUCAAUGGUUCUUGAAAACCUAAGGUGUGCUGUACCCAUAGAAAGUAGAGAUUGUUGUGGAAUCUAAACCUUGUCAUUUUUCAAUAUUAUAAACACGUUUUGAAUUGCUGAUUUUGAAUUUUCUGUGAGCAAAAAGUUCGAAUUGUCUAAUUUCAAUGAGAAAAAUAAACUCUAAUAUUUUACUUUCAAGUUGAUCAUAGAAAUAGUCAGAAUACUCAGUGUGUUUGGAAUGAAAUUUUGAUGAGGGGACAUGUUGUGCAAUGCCUUAAUUCUUGUUCUGUACAGUGUUAUGUUCUCAAUUGGAUGUAUUUCUACGAAACGGAACUAAAUGCAUUAAGACAUAAGCCCUGAGACCCAUAAGAACAUAUGCGUAACAGGGCUCAUGUCAUAAUGCUCAUAGUUCCGUUUGGCAGAAAUAUGUCCAAUUGAGUAUCUCUCAGUAAAAGGCUAUUUCUGAAAAGCAAAUAAAUCCUGAGUCCCGAAGUCCGUCAGUCAGAAUCUUUGAUCUUGAGAGUCUAUGAACAAAGUCUACAGCUUUCCUCUGUAUCAAUUGAACUUUCAUCUAAUGUUUACUUCAAAGCAGUCUUCUGAGCUUCGCUGUCUCUGAGUGAUCUGUUAGAGAUAUAAGUUUGUGUUGUGAGUUUAAUGCUUCUCUAUAGUUGCAUCCUUUUACCUUGAAGCAUGAUUUUUAUGAUUUUAUCCUAGGUCAAAUUUUACCAAUGAUAGAAGUCCUCGAAAAGUUAAACCGCUGUUUCUACAAUAUCAGUAGACCCUGUUUUUAUUGUAAUUUCUGUGUUGGACCUGUACAUUUUUUUUUGUUAUUUUAUGUGUCUAGCCCCUGCGCUCAAACCAAACGUUUAUUGUUAACGGCUUAAUUUUUCAAGUCUCAUCAUUUUCUCUCAAGUUUUUUAUAUGUGUAUCCAUAAAAAUCUGGAAAUAACAGGUACGAUAAUAAAACGCAAUCAGUUUGAAGAGUCAGUCCGGUCUAUUUUGUCUCAUUAAUUUUCUUAAUUCUUAUAAUUUCCUCCCAUCAGACAAAGCUCACCUAUUAAACUAUGAUCAACGAUGAGUCCAUUACGUACGUAACAAAAUCUUUUUAGACUAUCGCAACUUGUAGAUUAACCAUCAUAGCCACCAAUUAUUUGAAAGGCUCAAAAAUCUGGGGGAUAGUUGAAACUCAUAAAAUUGUAUUUUCAAGCAAAUAAAAAGGGUUCCUUCAUUUUCAUGAUAGGCUGUCGUUAUGUAAGACAGGCGUAACAGCUAUCUUCUGCUACUUAAAUGGCACGUUUUGGAAACACAAUAAACAAAUUUUAAAGCUAGAAAUUGGCAGAAAAGAGCGCCAUUUUACUUAACAGUACAGCCUUCAUUGGCUCUGGCAAAAUAAUACCCUUGCGGCUGUUCUGUCAGAAGCAACGCCAAUUUUUGCUCACUUACAACUUCCUUGUAGGUUUCGUUUUUUUACAACCAAGGCGAAUUUAGCUAUUUUAGCGGGAUCAAAGAUUUCACCUAAAUUGGAGUAGGCAAAUUUUGAAAGAAAUUUAAUCUCGAAAAUUUGAGGUCUAUACAAUCGCUCUCCCCUAUUGUGGCAGCAUUGUUUUUCCCAUCAUAAUUUGAUGUCAAUCACCCUUCAAUAAUUCUGUUAAUAAUGGAAUUAGUAGUGUAAACUUGAUAAAAUAUUGGGAUAACUUGAAAGAAAAACGUUUGCAGACAAACUUCAAAGUAAAAAAACAAGUUUUCAUCGAUGGCUUUAAUUUUAUUGUUUUCAUUGGUUAAUUGGAAGUUUUUACAAAAUUUUUGUUUAAAAAAUUAUCGAUAUUUUCAGAUAAUACACUGAUCCCAGAUGAGAGAAGGGACUUCCAUUUAUAAUAGCAUAAUUCUUGAGGCCAUCUUGACAAUCAGAUGUCACAAUUAUAAGAACAUAUGAAUUCAAAGUGUUGAUCAAAGAUUGAUUAGAAGUUGGAGGAUAUUUUAUUUUUACCUGUACCUAAAAAUAUGUUAUUAUUUCAUAUGAGCCUUGAAAGUUUUCAGUUCGAAACUUUCUUGAAGUAUUCAAGAGAAAAUUCUACUGAAAUGAAACAAAAUUGAUGAAAAAUAACAGUAGGGUCUUUUAAAGUAAAAAACCCUUUGGAAAGAGUGGAAAAUUAUUUCUCUCUUUAUUUUGGAAUUGGAGUAUUCUAUUUCAACUCUUCGAUGUACUUAGUAUUUUUAUAGCCUUCAGCAUUUUUUAUAUUUUCGCUUCAUUAGCAAUUUACUCAAGAUUAGCUGGCUUUCAUCUCUGUAAUAUUGGUUUUUCCCACGGCAAGUCAUCCUGCCCUUUGGGUGGGUGUUGCAAUAGAGCCGAUUUGAAAAAAUCUUAACUUAAUACGCAUCUGUGACUAACUUCUAAUUAGAGACAAAUAUACAUUUUAUAUAAUGAUAACUGUUACAUAUUUACAAGAACUGAGACCAGAAAAACAGAUUACAGUUCCUAUGAAUGAGAUUAAUUGAUGGAAUUAAUGAUCCGUAAG
rnacentral:lncRNA from 1 species